UACGGAGGGUGCAAGCGUUAAUCGGAAUUACUGGGCGUAAAGCGCACGCAGGCGGUCUGUUAAGUCAGAUGUGAAAUCCCCGGGCUCAACCCGGGAACUGCAUUUGAAACUGGCAGGCUGGAGUCUCGUAGAGGGGGGUGGAAUUCCAGGUGUAGCGGUGAAAUGCGUAGAUAUCGGGAGGAACACCUGUGGCGAAGGCGGCUCUCUGGGACGGUACUGACGCUGAGACGCGAAAGCGUGGGGAGCGAACAGG
rnacentral:rRNA from 1 species